rnacentral:rRNA from 1 species
AUUGAACGCUGGCGGCAGGCCUAACACAUGCAAGUCGGACGGUAGCACAGAGGAGCUUGCUCCUCGGGUGACGAGUGGCGGACGGGUGAGUAAUGUCUGGGGAUCUGCCCGAUAGAGGGGGAUAACCACUGGAAACGGUGGCUAAUACCGCAUAACGUCGCAAGACCAAAGAGGGGGACCUUCGGGCCUCUCACUAUCGGAUGAACCCAGAUGGGAUUAGCUAGUAGGCGGGGUAACGGCCCACCUAGGCGACGAUCCCUAGCUGGUCUGAGAGGAUGACCAGCCACACUGGAACUGCGACACGGUCCAGACUCCUAUGGGAGGCAGCAGUGGGGAAUAUUGCACAAUGGGCGCAAGCCUGAUGCAGCCAUGCCGCGUGUAUGAAGAAGGCCUUCGGGUUGUAAAGUACUUUCAGCGGGGAGGAAGGCGAUGUGGUUAAUAACCGCAUUGAUCGACGUUAACCGCAGAAGAAGCACCGGCUAACUCCGUGCCAGCAGCCGCCGUAA